rnacentral:rRNA from 1 species
AUACGGAGGGUGCAAGCGUUACUCGGAAUCACUGGGCGUAAAGCGCGCGCAGGCGGGCUGAUAAGUUGGAUGUGAAAGCCGACGGCUCAACCGUAGAACUGCAUCCAAAACUGUCAGUCUAGAGUGUGGGAGAGGAAGAUGGAAUUAGUUGUGUAGGGGUAAAAUUCGUAGAGAUAACUAGGAAUACCAAAAGCGAAGGCAAUCUUCUGGAACACUACUGACGCUGAGGCGCGAAGGCGUGGGGAGCAAACAGGAUUAGAAACCCUAGUAGUCC